CCGAAGCUGCGGCAGCGAACGUAUCACUUAAAACGAUUCAGAAGCUUACGAUUGACGGAGCGAAGCGACGUCAAAGCGUAUACAAAGUCGAGUCGGUUUAAGGAUACGUUCGUUGGGUAGGGGAGCGUUCUGUAAGCCUGCGAAGGUGGCCUGUGAGGGUUGCUGGAGGUAUCAGAAGUGCGAAUGCUGACAUAAGUAACGAUAAAGCGGGUGAAAAGCCCGCUCGCCGGAAGACCAAGGGUUCCUGUCCAACGUUAAUCGGGGCAGGGUGAGUCGACCCCUAAGGCGAGGCCGAAAGGUGUAGUCGAUGGGAAACGGGUUAAUAUUCCCGUACUUGGUGUUACUGCGAAGGGGGGACGGAGAAGGCUAUGUUGGCCGGGCGACGGU
rnacentral:rRNA from 1 species